GUGGGGAAUUUUGGACAAUGGGCGCAAGCCUGAUCCAGCAAUGCCGCGUGCAGGAUGAAGGCCUUCGGGUUGUAAACUGCUUUUGUACGGAACGAAAAGCCCUGGGUUAAUACCCUGGGGUCAUGACGGUACCGUAAGAAUAAGCACCGGCUAACUACGUGCCAGCAGCCGCGGUAAUACGUAGGGUGCGAGCGUUAAUCGGAAUUACUGGGCGUAACGCGUGCGCAGGCGGUUUUGUAAGACAGAGGUGAAAUCCCCGGGCUCAAGCUGGGAACUGCCUUUGGGACUGCAAGGCUAGAGUACGGCAGAGGGGGAUGGAAGUCCGCGUGUAGCAGUGAAAUGCGUAGAUAUGCGGAGGAACACCGAUGGCGAAGGCAAUCCCCUGGGCCUGUACUGACGCUCAUGCACGAAAGCGUGGGGAGCAAACAGGAUUAGAAACCCCUGUAGUCC
rnacentral:rRNA from 1 species